rnacentral:rRNA from 1 species
CACACGACUCUCGGCAACGGAUAUCUCGGCUCUCGCAUCGAUGAAGAACGUAGCGAAAUGCGAUACCUGGUGUGAAUUGCAGAAUCCCGCGAACCAUCGAGUCUUUGAACGCAAGUUGCGCCCGAGGYCACCUGGCCGAGGGCACGCCUGCCUGGGCGUCACGC